GUCAAGAUCAAAUCUGUCGUACGCCAGUGAGAAUAGGAUCAAGCACCGGGUUGGGAUCUCACAUCACAGAAAGUUGUAUCAACUGAGUCAGCCAACGAUUAAGCCCAUGAACUUGGGAUCCCAUUCCUGGAAACAAGUGCGAAGAAUGCUACCAAUGUCGGAGAAGCUUUCAUGGCCAUGACUACUGCAAUCAAGACAAGAAUAGCGAGCCAACCUGCAGGAAGAUCCAAGCCACCUACCGUCCAGAUCCGAGAACAAAAUGUAAACCAACAAUCAGGCUGCUCUCUUCUUAAUUCGUUUUGGUAACAGUUAACCAUAUAUCAUCUCAUAGUUUGCAUGUAAUACAUGAACAACGUCGUCGCUUUGUUCAGUCACUUA